rnacentral:lncRNA from 1 species
AGGAAUAUUCGGAGAUUAGCUGAAUCUAACUCAAGAACAAAUUGACAGAUUUUCCCUCUAAAUACCAAAAUUUAAAAUUCAAAAACUUCAAUAUACUAAAAGAAAAUUCAGAGAAUCAAAACAUAGUAGAAUGCAUAUGUUGAGGGGGAGAAUCUGAAUUUUUAAGAAAGCCAAAUCAUUAAAUAUAUAUAAACCAAACAAUUGAUUGCAUGAUAUGAAGGCUUAUAUAAUUCCAAAUGAAAGGGGGAGCUUUAACUCCAAAAUUUAUUGUUUCACACCUUUCAAGCUUGGAUAAAUUAAAUAUCCAGAUAUUUGAAUUCAUUUAUGGAUUUUAUCUCCUUGUUUAUUAAGCAAUUCACUUUACAUAUACUCAAUGUUUUGUCAUCAUCAAAAAGGGGGAGAUUGUGGAGUGAUUGAUUGAAACCCUAUUUGAUUUUGAUGAGCUCAAAGCAUUUGAGUAUAUCUUAUAUUUUACUAAUGAAUUCAAUUGAGUGUUUCAGUGAAAAUCUUGUCUAAGUGUCUCUAGAUUUGGUUCAAGGUAUUUUGGAUAAGUUAAGAAGUCAGU